AGCGUCUCAUCGAGGAGAAGUAGCAUCCGUGAUUUUCUGCUUGGGAUUUCAAAGGUCGAGGAAAUGAUCGUAUAUCAAAACACUUUAAAGAUCAUCUUUCAUUACUCGAAAUUAGAACCGAUGCCUCAGUUUAGUUAUAUGUCCCGCCUGCAUGCUUAUAUAUAUGUACCUGAUUUGAAAUGGUUACUAACUCUUCUUGCGAGCUGCCCAAACCUGAAAUCCCUCAUCUUGGUAUGGGAUUUUUACGAAGCACAACAGUUGCAUUCCGAAGAAAUGAA